rnacentral:rRNA from 1 species
CAAAUUUGAAAUCUGGCCCCCUCGGGGGUCCGAGUUGUAAUUUGGAGAGGAUGCUUCGGGUUCGGUCCCGGUCCAAGUGCCCUGGGACGGGCCGUCGGAGAGGGUGAGAAUCCCGUCUGCGACCGGUGACUGGGCCUGGGUGAAGCUCCCUCGACGAGUCGAGUUGUUUGGGAAUGCAGCUCUAAAUGGGUGGUAAAUUUCAUCUAAAGCUAAAUAUGGGCCGGAGACCGAUAGCGCACAAGUAGAGUGAUCGAAAGAUGAAAAGCACUUUGGAAAGAGAGUCAAACAGCACGUGAAAUUGUUGAAAGGGAAGCGCUUGCGAUCAGACUCGCCCGGGGAGGUUCAGCUGGCACUUGUGCCGGUGCAUUGCUACCCGGGCGGGCCAGCGUCGGUUUGGAUGGCCUGUCAAAGGCCCCCGGAAGGUAGCGCCCUUUGGGGCGUCUUAUAGCCGGGGGUGUCAUGCGGCCUGUCCGGACCGAGGAACGCGCCUUUGGGCUCGGACGCUGGCGUAAUGGUCGUAAGCGGCCCGUCUUGAAACACGGACCAAGGAGUCUAACAUCCACGCGAGUGUUCGGGUGUUCAAAACCCGUCCGCGCAGUGAAAGCGAACGGAGGUGGGAACCCCCUGGGGUGCACCAUCGACCGAUCCUGAUGUCUUCGGAUGGAUUUGAGUAGGAGCGUGGCUGUUGGGACCCGAAAGAUGGUGAACUAUGCCUGAAUAGGGCGAAGCCAGAGGAAACUCUGGUGGAGGCUCGCAGCGGUUCUGACGUGCAAAUCGAUCGUCAAAUUUGGGUAUAGGGGCGAAAGACUAAUCGAACCAUCUGGUAGCUGGUUCCUGCCGAAGUUUCCCUCAGGAUAGCAGUAACGAGAUCAGUUUUAUGAGGUAAAGCGAAUGAUUAGAGGCCUUGGGGUUGAAACAACCUUAACCUAUUCUCAAACUUUAAAUAUGUAAGAAGCCCUUGUUGCUUUGUUGAACGUGGGCGCUGGAAUGGAUCGUUACUAGUGGGCCAUUUUUGGUAAGCAGAACUGGCGAUGCGGGAUGAACCGAACGCGAGGUUAAGGUGCCGGAAUGCACGCUCAUCAGACACCACAAAAGGUGUUAGUUCAUCUAGACAGCCCGRCGGUGGCC